GACGAACGCUGGCGGCGUGCUUAACACAUGCAAGUUGAACGAAGAGCGACGGAAGCUUGCUUCUAUCAAUCUUAGUGGCGAACGGGUGAGUAACGCGUAAUCAACCUGCCCUUCAGAGGGGGACAACAGUUGGAAACGACUGCUAAUACCGCAUACGAUCUAACCUCGGCAUCGAGGAUAGAUGAAAGGUGGCCUCUACAUGUAAGCUAUCACUGAAGGAGGGGAUUGCGUCUGAUUAGCUAGUUGGAGGGGUAACGGCCCACCAAGGCGAUGAUCAGUAGCCGGUCUGAGAGGAUGAACGGCCACAUUGGGACUGAGACACGGCCCAGACUCCUACGGGAGGCAGCAGUGGGGAAUCUUCCGCAAUGGACGAAAGUCUGACGGAGCAACGCCGCGUGAGUGAUGACGGCCUUCGGGUUGUAAAGCUCUGUUAAUCGGGACGAAAGGCCUUCUUGCGAAUAGUGAGAAGGAUUGACGGUACCGGAAUAGAAAGCCACGGCUAACUACGUG
rnacentral:rRNA from 1 species